AUGCCGGCAGGGUGCCCUGGGAACAGCGCACCCAUCACAGAGCUGGCAAGAGGCAGGGCCUGGAUCGUGCCUCGGGCCUGCCUGCCCCGCGAGGCUGGGCUCUUUCUGUCGGGCCGGGCUGUGCCUCACCGUCACCACUACAAUACAAAGCGGGGUGGCGAUGGGGGCCACUCGGCCACCAGGCUGGACCCAAGACCUUCACCUUGUGCCCAGCUGCACACCUUCUCAGCGGAGACCAUGCCAGGCGCAGAGCAAAGUCCUCCCACGCAUCUUUCAGAAGCCUUCCGCAGCCUGCCUCUGCCUUCUAUCCCAGAGAGCCGGGGGCUGUUUGCUUCCCACUCUUCCUGAGACAGCGCAGAGGUGGCAGGGCCUGGCUCUGGGCCCCUCUCUGCAUGAAUUCCAGCCAGCAAAGGGAGGAUGCAACUCGCCAGGCAGCGGGCAAAGCUCUCCUCCUCAGUCACGCCACUGAUGCCUUUGGGGGCAGGCUACGGCCUUUGCGGGCCUGUUUCCACAGCUGUUACGUAAGGUGAGUUACUUGCUUGAUCCUUGAACGAUCUAUGUUUAACUCUCCACCCCGGGGCUCCCAGCUCGGUGCCCAUGAGAAUGUUUCCUGCAUUCCCUCGUUCAUUCAUUCACUCAGUAUUCAUUUAUGGAGCAGCUCCCGUGCGCAGUAUGCUGUGUGGGGGAAGGCGCUUGUGGGGAUUCAGGGGUGAGUAAAACAGGGUCCUGUUUCUGAGAACUCACGGUGCAACAGCAUAGAUGCCCCUAAGCAAGGCCGCGUCAAGGGCCCGCUGGGCUUCCCAGUUUGCCCCUUCUCUCCUCUCCUGUCUGGUUCUAGCCAUGCUUCCCACCUACCACCAAGACUUCGUUCGUGCAUGAUGCCAGCAUGGAAUGAACCUCCUUUCCAUUUCCUUCCGCCCCGGAUCUUCUUUUAACUUAAAAGUUUAAUUAUUCGGCUGUGUCAAGUCUCGGCUGCAGCACGUGGGCUCUCUAGUCCUGGUGCACAGGCUCUGGCCCUCACGAGCUUAGCUGCUCGCACGGCAUGUGGGAUCUUCGUUUCCCUACCAGGGAUCGAACCCAAGUCCCCUGCAUUGCAAGGCAGAUUCUCAACCACGGGACUGACAGGGAAGUCCCCCACCCCAGGUUUUUAGGGCCCAGUCCAAUGUUGCUCCCUCCAUGAAGACUUUGAGGAUGCUUCCAACCUGAAGUCAGGCACUUUGUGGCUCUCUUCGGGGCAUUUAUCUCGCCCUUGUAUUCUAGUUCCUUAAGGAUGCCUGAGUAUUACUGAUCCGUGGCCCAGAAAACAGGCCCAAGUGCUAGACAUCAGGGCAUGCGUGUGUGUGUGUGC
rnacentral:lncRNA from 1 species